CAAAAAUGUUGCGGUCUCCGCAAAAUUGGAUAACUGGGCGAAACGCCAAGUUAAUACAUGAAUUAAAGGACGCGUUCUGUUCCGGCGGCGGGGCAACUCGCCGCCUUGGCGCGUCCAGCGAAUGAAUGAAAGUAAAACCAACGCCUUCACCGCCAGUAACAUUUAGAAGUGCUGACUCAAUCCAUUCCGUGCGAAAGCUGGGUUUUUUACCUGGCGUCUUUUGACGACCAACUGCCCUAUCAGCCAGUGAUGGCCGUGUAGUGGACUGCCAUGGCGUUGACGGGAGCGGGGGAUUAGGGUUCGAUUCCGGAGAGGGAGCCUGAGAAAUAGCUACCACUUUUAGGGAGGCCACCAGGCGCGCAAAUUGCCCAAUGUCAAAAAAAAACGAUGAGGCAGCGAAAAGAAAUAGAGCCGAGAGCGCCUUUGGCGUUGUCGUUUUCAAUGGGGGAUAUUUAAACCCAUCCAAAAUCGAGUAACAAUUGGAGGACAAGUCUGGUGCCAGCACCCGCGGUAAUUCCAGCUCCAAAAGCGUAUAUUAAUGCUGUUGCUGUUAAAGGGUUCGUAGUUGAACUGUGGGCCUUCGAGGCGCAUUGGUUUUGUCCCGUCCACUUCGGAUCGGUGACCCAUGCCCUUGAGGUCCGUGAACACACAGAACCAAGAAACACGGGAGUGGUACCCUUCCUGAUUCUCGCAUGUCAUGCAUGCCAGGGGGCGCCCGUGAUUUUUACUGUGACUAAAAAAGUGUGACC
rnacentral:rRNA from 1 species